AUACGGAGGGGGCUAGCGUUGUUCGGAAUUACUGGGCGUAAAGCGUACGUAGGCGGACUGAUCAGUUGGGGGUGAAAUCCCAGGGCUUAACCCUGGAACUGCCUUCAAUACUGUCAGUCUUGAGAUUGGAAGAGGUGAGUGGAAUUCCUAGUGUAGAGGUGAAAUUCAUAGAUAUUAGGAGGAACACCAGUGGCGAAGGCGGCUCACUGGUCCAAUACUGACGCUGAGGUACGAAAGCGUGGGGAGCAAACAGGAGUAGAUACCCUAGUAGUCC
rnacentral:rRNA from 1 species